AAAUUGAAGAGUUUGAUCAUGGCUCAGAUUGAACGCUGGCGGCAGGCCUAACACAUGCAAGUCGAGCGGAAACGAGUUAUCWGAACCUUCGGGGGRCGAUAACGGCGUCGAGCGGCGGACGGGUGAGUAAUGCCUAGGAAAUUGCCCUGAUGUGGGGGAUAACCAUUGGAAACGAUGGCUAAUACCGCAUGAUGCCUACGGGCCAAAGAGGGGGACCUUCGGGCCUCUCGCGUCAGGAUAUGCCUAGGUGGGAUUAGCUAGUUGGUGAGGUAAGGGCUCACCAAGGCGACGAUCCCUAGCUGGUCUGAGAGGAUGAUCAGCCAC
rnacentral:rRNA from 1 species